CCUACGGGAGGCAGCAGUGAGGAAUAUUGGUCAAUGGCCGGAAGGCUGAACCAGCCAAGCCGCGUGAAGGACGAAUGUGCCAAGCAUUGUAAACUUCUUUUGUCAAGGGACAAAAUCAGGCUCGAGAGCCUGACCGAGGGUACCUGAAGAAACAGCAUCGGCUAAUUCCGUUCCAGCAGCCGCGGUAAUACGGAGGAUGCAGGCGUUCUCGGGAUUUAUUGGGGUUAAAGGGUGGGUGGGCGGACUUUUAAGGCAGCGGUAAAAGCCCGGGGCUAAAACCCGGCGAGCCGUUGAAACUGGCUGUCUUGAGAUGUCGAGAGGUAUGCGGAAUGCGCAGUGUAGCGGUGAAAUGCUUAGAUAUUGCGCAGAACUCCGAUUGCGAAGGCAGCAUACCGGCGGCGAUCUGACGCUGAGGCACGAAAGCGUGGGUAUCGAACAGGAUUAGAUACCCUUGUAGUC
rnacentral:rRNA from 1 species